AACGGCCGUACCAUGCUGAAUAUACCGGUUCUCGUUAGAUCACCGAAGUUAAGCGGUCAGUACUUGGGUGGGUGACCACCUGGGAACACUGCGUGCCGUU